rnacentral:rRNA from 1 species
UGAUGGGAGCUUGCUCCCUGAGAUUAGCGGCGGACGGGUGAGUAACACGUGGGCAACCUGCCUAUAAGACUGGGAUAACUUSGGGAAACCGGAGCUAAUACCGGAUACGUUCUUUUCUCGCAUGAGAGAAGAUGGAAAGACGGUUCUGCUGUCACUUAUAGAUGGGCCCGCGGCGCAUUAGCUAGUUGGUGAGGUAAUGGCUCACCAAGGCGACGAUGCGUAGCCGACCUGAGAGGGUGAUCGGCCACACUGGGACUGAGACACGGCCCAGACUCCUACGGGAGGCAGCAGUAGGGAAUCUUCCGCAAUGGACGAAAGUCUGACGGAGCAACGCCGCGUGAACGAAGAAGGCCUUCGGGUCGUAAAGUUCUGUUGUUAGGGAAGAACAAGUACCAGAGUAACUGCUGGUACCUUGACGGUACCUAACCAGAAAGCCACGGCUAA